rnacentral:lncRNA from 1 species
GGGGGUCCCUGGGGUCUCUAUGGAUCUCUAUGAGGAUAUGGGGGUCCCUGGGGUCCCUGGGGUCUCUAUGGGGAUAUGGGGGUCUCUGGGGGUCUCUAUGGGGAUAUGGGGGUCCCUGGGGGUCUCUAUGGGUCUCUAUGGGGAUAUGGGGGUCUCUAUGGGUCUCUAUGAGGAUAUGGGGGUCCCUGGGGGUCUCUAUGGGGAUAUGGGAGUCUAUGGGGGUCUCUAUGGAGAUAUGGGGGUCUCUAUGGGUCUCUAUGGGGAUAUGGGGGUCCCUGGGGGUCUCUAUGAGGAUAUGGGGGUCUAUGGGGGUCUCUAUGGGUCUCUAUGGGGAUAUGGGGGUCCCUGGGGGUCUCUAUGGGGAUAUGGGGGUCCCUGGGGGUCUCUAUGGGUCUCUAUGAGGAUAUGGGGGUCCCUGGGGUCCCUGUGGGUCUCUAUGGGGAUAUGGGGGUCCCUGGGGGUCUCUAUGGGGAUACGGGGGUCCCUGGGGUCUCUAUGGGUCUCUAUGGGGAUAUGGGGGUCUCUGGGGGUCUCUAUGGGGAUAUGGGGGUCCCUAGGGGUCUCUAUGGAUCUCUAUGAGGAUAUGGGGGAUCUCUGGGGGUCCCUGGGGGUCUCUAUGGGGAUAUGGGGGUCCCUGGGGGUCUCUAUGGGUCUCUAUGGGGAUAUGGGGGUCUCUAUGGGUCUCUAUGGGAAUAUGGGGGUCCCUGGAGGUCUCUAUGUGGAUAUGGGGGUCUCUGGGGGUCCCUGUGGGUCUCUAUGGGGAUAUGGGGGUCUCUAUGGGUCUCUAUGGGGAUAUGGGGGUCUCUGGGGGUCCCUGGGGGUCUCAUGGUGGCACUGACCAUAUCCCAGCACGAGGACGAGCAGCAGCAGCGCAGCCCCCAACACGAGCCCGGCCACGAAGCGCAGCAGCACAAUGAACAGGAGGCUGGCGGCCAUGGAGAUCACCAGCCCGCUAUGGGGGGACAUGGGGGGAUAUGGGGGGACAUGGGGGUCAGGGACCCCAAAAAGACCCCCACCCUUAUUUGGGGGGGGGGUGCAGCCCAUGAAGCACAGCAGCACAAUGAACAGGAGGCUGGUGGCCAUAGCCAGCACCCACCUGCUAUGGGGGAUGGGAGGGGGGGGACAAUAAGGGAUAUGGGGGGAUAAGGGGGGAGAAUAGGGGGGAUAAGGGGGGAUACUCGGGGGAUAUAGGCGGAUAUGGGGGGGACAUAAGGGCUUAUAGGGGGGAUAUAGGGGGAUAUAAGGGGGGCAUAUGGGGAGAUAUGGGGGGGGAUAUGAGGGGAUAUGGGAGGGUAUAGGGGGAUAUAGGGGCAAUACAGGGGGAUAUAGGGGGGAUAUAGGGGGGGGAUAUAAGGGGGAUAUAGGGGGAUAUAGAGGGAGUAUGGGGGGAUAUGGGGGACAUACGGGGGAUAUAGGGAGGAUAUAGGGGGAUAUAGGGGGGGAUACAGGGGGAUAUAGGGCAAUACGGGGGAAUAUAGGGGGGAUAUAGGGGGGAUAUAGAGGGAUAUGG